UACGGAGGGAGCUAGCGUUAUUCGGAAUUACUGGGCGUAAAGCGCACGUAGGCGGCUUUGUAAGUAAGAGGUGAAAGCCCAGAGCUCAACUCUGGAAUUGCCUUUUAGACUGCAUCGCUUGAAUCAUGGAGAGGUCAGUGGAAUUCCGAGUGUAGAGGUGAAAUUCGUAGAUAUUCGGAAGAACACCAGUGGCGAAGGCGGCUGACUGGACAUGUAUUGACGCUGAGGUGCGAAAGGCGUGGGGAGCAAACAGG
rnacentral:rRNA from 1 species